rnacentral:rRNA from 1 species
GACAGAGGGUGCGAACGUUGUUCGGAAUUACUGGGCGUAAAGCGCGUGUAGGCGGCAACGCAAGUCGGGCGUGAAAUCCCACGGCUCAACCGUGGAAGUGCACUCGAAACUGCGUAGCUAGAGUCCUGGAGAGGAAGGUGGAAUGCUUGGUGUAGAGGUGAAAUUCGUAGAUAUCAAGCGGAACACCGGUGGCGAAGGCGGCCUUACUGGGACAGUGACG